rnacentral:rRNA from 1 species
GAUUUCUGGGCUCCCGUUGUUGGCCGGCCACGGUUUCGUGUGUUAGUGCUUGUAACGGCGCCCAUCCUUCCCAUCGCUCGUGCCUGCUCUUCAUUGAACGGACACGGGUAUGGGAUCGUUUACUUUGAAAAAAUUAGAGUGUUUCAAGCAGGCUUUAUGCUAUGAAUACAUUAGCAUGGAAUAAUAAUUUAGGACUUCGGUUCUAUUUUGUUGGUUUCUAGGACUGAAGUAAUGAUUGAUAGGGAUAGUUGGGGGUGCUAGUAUUCAGCGGCCAGAGGUGAAAUUCUCGGAUUCGCUGAAGACUAACUUAUGCGAAAGCAUU